GUAAAAAAAUUCAAAACAAUAUCAGUAAAAUAAAGCUCAAUAAAUAAAGUGCAACGCAAAAAACGGCGUACAAAACGGACGCUCGUAGCCCUCACACUCUCCCGCACUCUCUCUAACCUGCGAGUGGGCUUUACACGCACGUGAACAGUGUCACCUUCAACCUCUGGCGGGUCGACCCACUACCAGAAACCGGGUCAAACCGCGGGUCGUGCUCCAG
rnacentral:lncRNA from 1 species